AGGAAUUGGCGGGGGAGCACUACAACGGGUGGAGCCUGCGGUUCAAUUGGAUUCAACGCCGGAAAGCUUACCGGGUCAGACAGCAAUAUGAAGGUCAAGCUAAAGACUUUACCGAAUUCGCUGAGAGGAGGUGCAUGGCCGUCGUCAGUUCGUAUCGUGAGACAUCCUGUUAAGUCAGGCAACGAGCAAGACCCGUGCCCACAGUUGCCAGCAUACCCUCCGGGGUGAUGGGCACACUGUGGGGACCGCCGCUGCUAAAGCGGAGGAAGGUGCGGGCUACGGUAGGUCAGUAUGCCCCGAAUCAUCCGGGCUACACGCGGGCUACAAUGGUUGGGACAAUGGGCACCUACACCGAGAGGUGAUGGUAAUCUCCUAAACCCAGCCUUAGUUCGGAUUGAGGGCUGCAACUCGCCCUCAUGAAGCCGGAAUCCGUAGUAAUCGCGUAUCAAUAUCACGCGGUGAAUACGUCCCUGCUCCUUGCACACACCGCCCGUCAAACCAUGCGAGUGAGGUCUGAAUGAGGGCACGCUUUCUGGCGUGUUCGAAUUUGGGCUUCGCGAGUGGGGUUAAGUCGUAACAAGGUAGCCUCAGUCAGUCAA
rnacentral:rRNA from 1 species